AAAUCUCUUAUAAAUGGAAAAAAAAAAUUAAUUCCUUGCAAUAAUUUAUGAGCCCAAAAUCUGAAGUUCGUCUCGGGCCCCGCAAAACACAGGUCUGGCCCUGGUAUCAGGGACCAUACUUUCAGUUGGUUCGUUAAAGAUUAGGAAAUGAAAAAAAUUCAGAUUUUUCCCGUGUAAGGGGCUGCUUCGGCGACCAUAGUUGUUGCUGAUCAGUAUAAUUCAGCAACCAGCUCAAAGAGGUUGUUGAAUGAAUUGGCGCAAUAAAUCCAGCCUACUAUUUCGUGUGGUUUUGAGUUUCUUUAGCCACUAACAAAUGUUGUCCUUGUAAAAAGAGAGCGUUAGCGACCACCUUAUGGUCAUUGUUUAGUAUGAUGCAGCAACCAGCUUCAGUUGAUAGCUGAAUGAAUUGGUGUAGAAAAUCCAACCUAAUUUUUUGUAUGGUUUUGAGUUUUUCGACAACCAUCACAUGUGAUCGCUAUAAGGUCCCUCUAUAUUCUAGCUUGAUUACCUAUGAUGUUUGUUGUCGAUUUUAUCUUGCAAUUGUACAGAUCGUAACAAGUAGUAAAGUGGACAUAAGAGUCCGAGUUAUCGAUCCCAUGAGAACUAUACUUUAGCACUUAAUUCAAUUUUC
rnacentral:lncRNA from 1 species